UCCUACGGGAGGCAGCAGUGGGGAAUUUUCCGCAAUGGGGGAAACCCUGACGCAGCGACGCCGCGUGCGGAAUGAAGGCCUCGGUCGUAACCGCUUUCAGCAGGGACGGAAAUUAGACGGUACCUGCAGAAGAAGGCCCGGCCAACUACGUGCCAGCAGCCGCGGUA
rnacentral:rRNA from 1 species